rnacentral:rRNA from 1 species
GAUGAACGCUGGCGGCGUGCCUAAUACAUGCAAGUCGAGCGAACAGACGAGGAGCUUGCUCCUCUGACGUUAGCGGCGGACGGGUGAGUAACACGUGGAUAACCUACCUAUAAGACUGGGAUAACUUCGGGAAACCGGAGCUAAUACCGGAUAAUAUAUUGAACCGCAUGGUUCAAUAGUGAAAGACGGUUUUGCUGUCACUUAUAGAUGGAUCCGCGCCGCAUUGGCUAGUUGGUAAGGUAACGGCUUACCAAGGCAACGAUGCGUAGCCGACCUGAGAGGGUGAUCGGCCACGCUGGAAGUGGGACACGGACCAGACUCCUACGGGAGGAAGCAGUAGGGAAUCUUCCGCAAAGGGCGAAAGCUUGACGGAGCAAAGCCGCGUGGUUGAUGAAGGUCUUCGGAUCGUAAAACUCUGUUAUUAGGGAAGAACAAAGGUGUAAGUAACUAUGCACGUCUUGACGGUACCUAAUCAGAAAGCCACGGCUAACUACGUG